AGAUUCCCUGAUGUGUCAAUGAGGAGAAGGAGUAAUUCUUUCUGGAGGGGUUUUGGAGUGGUCUGUAAAUCGGUCCAUAAUAUUAUUCUAGUACCUACCAAAACAUUCCUUUAGGGGAAUAUUAUCUAUUCUGUUUUUUAGAAAAUGUUGGUGAGAAUUCUGCUGGGAUUGUAGAUGCCUCCAAUGAUCAUGUACACGGUAUUGGUGGAUGCCUCAACUAAUACAAAGACACCUUCUGUAAUCACCUAUACUCAUUUGGAGGUGAGGUGGCCAGUUUUGUGCACAGUAUUCAAGAAGACAAAAGAAACAGCCACUGGAAUUUGGGAGCAGUUCCUAACCUGAGAAUUUGGUCAGCAAUGUACUGAAACCAUAUGAUCAUGACAUUGCACAGUGUGAGUGAAAGAAGAUAUAUGAGCUCUUUAAAGACAGGCUUCCUGUCCUGCAAUACCUUGAUCUGGGCAACAAGGCAUGCUGGGAAAGAGAACCUGUCACAUAAGACUCUUAGCUAAGCGAUCGAUAGCCAAGAAGCACAGCUCCAGAUGGAAAAAACUGAGACAGAGGCUGAACCUGAUGCUGAACCAGAACUUCAUGACAGUGUGGUUUGAUCACUCUACUGGGUGUUCCUUGAGGUUUCUUUUUUAAAUCAGUGCAUUUGUAAUUGUUUGAAAAAUACAGACACUAAGGGAAUGGAGUGAGAGUUUAUAAUGCAUCUUGAGUGACUUUAAUUACGGUCAAAACACUGACCAAUUCAGCAUUAUUUGUCAGGGAGGAUUACAUACAUUACAUACAAAAUAUCUUUGAGCUUGGAAGAUGAAGUAUUCUCACAAUUUGAGUACUUAUUUCUUUGAAUUAAGGGUAACAACUUUAUGGCGUUUGGGAUUUUUAAAAGUGGAAGUACUGUCAUUACUUCAUACUAGUUCUCUGAGUGAGGAUGUCUCUUUAAGAAAGUCGUGCCUGGGAGUCGGCUCUGCCUAGUCUGGCACAGUACAAAGCAACAGAGACUCUGGGAGAGAGCGG